UACGUAGGGUGCGAGCGUUGUCCGGAAUUAUUGGGCGUAAAGAGCUCGUAGGCGGUUUGUCGCGUCGGCCGUGAAAACUUGGGGCUUAACCCCAAGCCUGCGGUCGAUACGGGCAGACUUGAGUUCGGCAGGGGAGACUGGAAUUCCUGGUGUAGCGGUGAAAUGCGUAGAUAUCAGGAGGAACACCGUGGUGGUGAGCUGGAGACGCUUCCGUCGGACAUCACUGACGCUGAGGACACGAAAGCGUGGGGUAGCAAACAGG
rnacentral:rRNA from 1 species